rnacentral:sRNA from 1 species
GGGUCUGUGGAUUUCUAGUUUAUGAUAAAUAGGACUUUAAAAACCAGGGACGGGAGGGCGAGUGUUCAGGUUCUAGAGCUAUGCAGCUGGAGCACUGCCUUUCUCCUUCUAUCAUGCUCUCCAAGAAAUUUCUCAAUGUGAGCAGCAGCUACCCACAUUCAGGCGGAUCCGAGCUUGUCUUGCACGAUCAUCCCAUUAUCUCGACCACUGACAACCUGGAGAGAAGUUCACCUUUGAAAAAAAUUACCAGGGGGAUGACGAAUCAGUCAGAUACAGACAAUUUUCCUGACUCCAAGGACUCACCAGGGGACGUCCAGAGAAGUAAACUCUCUCCUGUCUUGGACGGGGUCUCUGAGCUUCGUCACAGUUUCGAUGGCUCUGCUGCAGAUCGCUACCUCCUCUCUCAGUCCAGCCAGCCACAGUCUGCGGCCACUGCUCCCAGUGCCAUGUUCCCGUACCCCGGCCAGCACGGACCGGCGCACCCCGCCUUCUCCAUCGGCAGCCCUAGCCGCUACAUGGCCCACCACCCGGUCAUCACCAACGGAGCCUACAACAGCCUCCUGUCCAACUCCUCGCCGCAGGGAUACCCCACGGCCGGCUACCCCUACCCACAGCAGUACGGCCACUCCUACCAAGGAGCUCCGUUCUACCAGUUCUCCUCCACCCAGCCGGGGCUGGUGCCCGGCAAAGCACAGGUGUACCUGUGCAACAGGCCCCUUUGGCUGAAAUUUCACCGGCACCAAACGGAGAUGAUCAUCACCAAACAGGGAAGGUAAUACAACAUUUUUGGCUGCCGCUGCUCUAGGCGCAGCCGGGGACAAGUGCACCUAGGCUGUGACUGCCGCGGCAGCGACGAUUUGGGGUCGGGAGCGGAGUGGAAGGCGCCCUAGAGUUGGCUAGUUUUGGAAAGGGGGAAAGUGGAAGGGAUAACCGCCACGGUGAUGUUGGUGGGGAGGACCCCGUUCUAGGAACGUAGUGGGAGAGCCAGUCAGUGGCCAGAGGAAGGCAAGAAAAAGGAAGAGCCCUGGCCAGCGGCUGGGCGAUGGGAGGGACGCAUCAACACUGGCAUGCACGGACAGGUGGAGACGCAGGUCGCCAACCUCGCUCUCCACCUGGGCAGUGAUAACUGCCACCUUCCCACUCCAGCUCACCCGCCGCUCUCCCUGAUUUGGGUUGCACUUCUUUUCUUCUCCCACCACCCUUUUUCUAAUCCAGCAAAUAUUCGCCUAUUUGCUGCAAGUACAAGUUUUGCUUUGCUAACUGGCGCCCCGCUUCUUGCAUUUAAUCUUUAACAUUUAUGUUUCUUUUUUCCUUGUUUUCUCCCCCCACCCCUUAAUUUAAAUAGGCGCAUGUUUCCUUUUUUAAGUUUUAACAUUUCUGGUCUCGAUCCCACGGCUCAUUACAAUAUUUUUGUGGAUGUGAUUUUGGCGGAUCCCAAUCACUGGAGGUUUCAAGGAGGCAAAUGGGUUCCUUGCGGCAAAGCGGACACCAAUGUGCAAGGAAAUCGGGUCUAUAUGCAUCCGGAUUCCCCCAACACUGGGGCUCACUGGAUGCGCCAAGAAAUCUCUUUUGGAAAAUUAAAACUUACGAACAACAAAGGAGCUUCAAAUAACAAUGGGCAGGUCAGUGGCUCAAGCGCUCGUGUUUUCUCUCUCUCUCUCACCCCUUCCUCCCUGAUAUCCAGUUCAUCAGUGUAAAGCAGCAUAUGGAACUGGAUACAUGUUUCUUUGCUUCAUUAAAAAGACUUAAAAAUUGUAUUUCCACCCUCCAAAUUUAUAUUAAAUCUGUAAAGUUGUUCUCAUUGGCAACACCUCCGUCGGCCCAAUUUUGGAGUGCCCGACCUUCCCAAGUACUAAUACUGAUUGAUUUUGAGAAGAAACCCCACAAGAUCUGCAGGUUGUGGAAAUCUUUGUUCCUCCUUACAGGAGGACUAGGAGAAGGGCCCUGAGGAUCGGGCGGUCGGCUUCCCCCUUUUUUCCGGUGCCCCGGCUUAUCUUCGCUCCCAGAGGUGCGAAAGCCGGUCUGCCUCAGCCAGCCAGCCGCCAGCCAGGCGAGUCCCGCGGUCAGUUAGCCUGGGAGGCGGGCUGCAGGCUGCCUCCGCCGGCCCGGGCGCGCAGCCGGGCGCACACAGCCACGCGCACAGCGACCGCGUUAACACGCCACCCGGCGCUCCCCUUUCUUCCCGCCGGACAGAUGGUGGUUUUACAGUCCUUGCACAAGUACCAGCCCCGCCUGCAUGUGGUGGAAGUGAACGAGGACGGCACGGAGGACACUAGCCAGCCCGGCCGCGUGCAGACGUUCACUUUCCCUGAGACUCAGUUCAUCGCCGUCACCGCCUACCAGAACACCGAUGUAAGGAGACCUAGGGGCUGGGGGCGAGGCGGGCGGCACAGACAUCUCUCCCACCCUCUCACAUUCUCCCGCCAUGCAAGGCUAGGGUACUAGCAGCGCUAACAUCAGCAACAGCUGGCUCCGCUGUGCGUUUUAAGGCCUAGGGCUCGAGGCCUGCCCACGGCACCUUUCCUAAAUACCAAGCCGGUGGGAAAAAGCUUUCUAUUUGUUUUCGUCGCUGGUCACCCGGGCCACCUUUGAGGUGGCCAGGAUUUCUAAAGACUCUUCUUUUGGGAGUUUUAAUUUGGGCUUUGAACUAGAACAGAUUAAAAUCUACUUUAAAAAAAAUUCUCUCUUUCCUUUAGAAAACAAGCAGAUUUCCCCGUGCAUUUUAUUCUUGGCAAGCUUUGGCAUCUAAAAAAAAAUUUCUCUCUCUCUCUCUUUUUUUCAUCUCAGAACUGAUGGCUGAAAUGAACAAACAUCACUGUUCUGGGAGAUCAAAAGAACAUACACAUUCAUAUAUGUGAAAACUACAAUAAAUCAAAUCACUGAGGGCUAUGGAUUGAGCUUUCUAGCACUUGAACCACUUCUGAUUUUUCAAGUUUGCAAAAACUGAUUUUAGUGGCUGAUUUGACUACUAGGAGUGAUAGGGGUUUUUGUGUUUGUUUCUUUUUUUUACUUAAAUGAUAAUAUCAGAAAUUAAAACAUGCUUUUAAAUCCAACUUGAUUUUAAAAUGCAACUUGUGGUUUCUCAGGUUGUGAGUCAGAAGCGACAAACGUUUUAAAAUAUAAAAUACUUAAAAUAGUCAACAUUUAGUGAUGAAUUCAAGUUCUCCUUAAAGAUUUUUGUCUGAACAAGUGCACUGUGUGUAACAAGCAUUUUUAAAAUGUGAGUUUGAACAAAUUUAGAAAACACAGGAGAGCUAAUUGAAAGCAGUUCUUUGGCUAUAGGUAUCAUUAAUUUAAACAUGUUCCUCAUAACUUUCAUGAUACUUUCUCUUUUUUUCCUUUCCACUCAAUCCCUCAAAUUUUUCAGUUAGGAAAACCUUGCUAUUUAAUAAAUUGUAGGCCUUAAGCCCCUGUAAAAGUGGCAGAUGAUAUAUUCUCAAACACCCAGUCUUCACGUAUAAAAGGUGAGAUAACAUUCAUUUUUUUUCUUUGCCAGAUUACACAACUGAAAAUAGAUCACAACCCUUUUGCAAAAGGAUUUCGGGAUAAUUAUGACACGUAAGUAAUUUUGUAUCUUCCUUUUCAAAUAGCUGUGGCAUUGGGCUUUAGGUCAAAGGUGGAUUAUUACGUACAAGGAUUUUGAAAGCUGGAAUGUGUGAAGACAAGGUUGUUUUAGAGGACUUCUUCUUUCUUCUUUCUUCUUCCUCUUCUUCUUCUUUUUUUUUUUUUUUGGUUGGCUCCCCUUCUCUCUGGUGACCUUGUGGCUUGGUACUUGUGUGGUUUUUGGUCAGAGGUUUCCUCCACCUAAUUUUAACUUUCCUGUGGAUUACAAAGUUGUUGGCGGGCCUCUGGGGCUGGCUGGCUGGCUGGGGAGGCUGCCCUGGUCUCGGGUGCGAGUACUGUAUGUGGCGCUGCAGAUGCUCAGCUCAGAUUGUCUAUGUCUGUCUGAAACGGGCAAUUCUGCCUAAAAGUGCAUGUGGCUCCUCUGGCAGUUGUUAACAGUCUCUUAGCAUAUGCGACUUUUAUUUACCCAUUUCCAAGUUUUGUAUAAUAGCAUUUCCUGUGCAAGUUGGCUACGGACUGAAUACAAAUGUGCACCCACCACAGGCGAGUUCAUGAGCAGAACCGCUGUUACGGUCAUUUUAGGCUUUCGGAAAGAUUCAGACGGUGUUGCUGUGUAUUAUUUAUAAGCUUCAAAAGAAAAACAUUUCCUCUUUGUUUUGUAUCUAGGUGUGUUUUAAUUAAACAUGCUGGUGCCCUUUUCUUUAGGCCUCCCUUACCUCCCUCUUUUCUAUCAAAAGGCUGUUCUCUGGGGGCAACAGUAGGUGUAAACUGAAUGCUUUCUGGGCUUGUUCUGCAAUUCUCACUCAGGGUCCAUAGUGCCUAAGAGUUCAGAUAGUGUUAUCAAUCUAAAUCUGGAUUGUGGGGUUCCCCCACGUUUUCUGACCAUAAAAGGAAAGGGUACAUACAUCUUAAUUUCGUGGCUUACAUUGAGCGCCGGAGACAGAGCUAAAAAGUUGAAGCUGCCUUUGACUAGCAUAGAUUAAAUGUGUGGAGAAAGAGACAAGUGACUGCCUCUAUUCCAUCUCCAAGCAGAUACCAAUCAUCCCUCCUGAUAUUUUCUAAUAAUUUAAAAGAGAGUCAUUGAUAUUACUGCCUAUAACCACCAUAUAUAUUCUUCAAAAAUACUCCAAAGGAAGCAAGUCUCAUCAAUAUGAUUCCCCAGAAUAAAAACUUGGCUACUCUAUUCCUCACAAUCUAAAAAGGUGUGCCCAGCACAGUGGAAAGUAUAUGGCUCAAGAGACUAGAGAUGUUAGAGGAGAGUCCUGUAGAUUUUGAGAUUUUAAUUCUGUUGUGAACAUCUGUUCAAAAGCAUUUUAUUUUGCACAAAUCAAUUCAGUAAUCCCAAGUGGGUGGGACCUGGAUAGGCAUCCAAACUGUAUCUUUUGCAGACUGCUUUUUUCUUUUUAAAAUAUUGUGGUGAUAAACAGAGAAGAUAUUUGCACCUUGCUAGUUAUGUUCCCUUCCUGCCUCCCUCUACUUCUCUUAUUUGAAACUGGAAUUCAAUUUCAGAAGGGAAAUUUUGUGCACUAAACAGAACGGACCUGAGCAGCCACAGCAAAACUCUCACAUGCCCCUCCUCCUCUGGCUGCCUUCUGUUGGAAAAGCCAGUCCUCUUUGAUCUUAAAUCACUUUAAAUCUUUCAUAAAAGCUUCUUUAUCUAUACACACACACACACACACACACACAAAAACCCUGAGAUUUUUAGGGGACAGAGAAGAGUUGAGUGGUUCAUGACACUCUUCCUUUCCCCUUUUACGUUGGUUACUUGGACAUGGCUCAAUUUUGGAGAAAGAGGGAGAAGUAUAAGGGUUCAUGGGGUACUAGGAGCUUGCUUGGCCACUCACCAGGGAAUCUCCUCCCCAAAGGAUUAAGGUCUGACAAGACUGAGGCUCUCCUUCAAAACAGUCUGUUGACUAAAGAUUAAAACAUUUAUGUGUGAGCUAAAUAAAAAGGGAGGCAUGUGUGCAUGUGUAUGAGAAAACACUUCUACCAAUCUUCAUCCAACCCUUGGUUUCCUCUCAAUUCUAAUGGGAUUUUCUAGGCCCAGGGCCUAAAGUUAAUCUUUGAUUAUUUUAUCUAAGGUAAUUCCCAACAACACAAUCACUGUCGGUGGUUGGGCAAGUUAUUUAACUUCCUUUUGCCUCAAUUUCCUCAUCGGUAAAGUGGGAUAAUAAAAGUUACCUAGCUCACAGUGCCUGGCAUAUAGUCGAGCUCCGUAAAGGUUAGCUAUUAUUAGUGGUCCAUUGCAUGGAGUAGGCUGAUAAGUGCACUGUAGGUUUGCCCCGAAGUUUCUGCGGGUAACGGACCAAAAGCUAGGAAAAGAAGGUCAGAGUAAAGAACACCUUUUCUCUUAAGAGAAUAUUUCUGAUUGAUGACUACUGUUUCAGAGUAGUAAUUCUUGUUUGUAUUAGUAGAGGUGGGAGUGAAAGUUUCACACAGGGGAAACAAUAGACACUAAGUACCUUGGAGGCUUCCAGCAGCAAACCUCGGGUUCCAGAACACGGGUGAAGGCCAGUCUUUCAUGAUUACUGCGUGCGCGGCUUUUUCCUAGGGGUUUCUGAAACAAUCUAGAAAAAGGAGAGAUAUCACCUGAACAAUCAAAUGGACACAGGAGGUCUUAAAAGGGUGGAGGAGUGAGUACCUUGCUUAGAAAUUUCACUCAUAAACUGACCGCAGAGGAAAGGCCCACUGGGCAAAGAGCAUCUUACUCCCUAGGUAAAUCUGCCUUAAUGUGCACACAUAUGUUGGAGAAGUGGGAUGAAAGUCCUUGCUUGUGCCCCUCUCUCAGUACCCCAGUACACUUGACGAGAGAGAGCAAGAGAAGAGGGAAGUCGUUCCCUUGAUGGUCUGUAUCUUGCUCAGGUCCCUGCAUAGACAGAUUGGCUCCUUUAUAAUUCCAUGAUUUAUUUUGGGAAUGAUAGAGGUCUGUGGCCUCUUGUAUUCUCCAGGAAAUCCUGGACUGCAAGUUUGUAGAUGGAGGGUGUGGGGGUGGGCGAAAAGUGGAGGUGGCCUUCCCUUCUGCCCCCACCCCCACCCCAAGGGACCUCCGCGCCACCCCUCGGCUCUCUCUCUCUCUCUCCCUACCCCGCAGGAUCUACACCGGCUGUGACAUGGACCGCCUGACCCCCUCGCCCAACGACUCGCCGCGCUCGCAGAUCGUGCCCGGGGCCCGCUACGCCAUGGCCGGCUCUUUCCUGCAGGACCAGUUCGUGAGCAACUACGCCAAGGCCCGCUUCCACCCGGGCGCGGGCGCGGGCCCCGGGCCGGGUACGGACCGCAGCGUCCCGCACACCAACGGGCUGCUGUCGCCGCAGCAGGCCGAGGACCCGGGCGCGCCCUCGCCGCAACGCUGGUUUGUGACGCCGGCCAACAACCGGCUGGACUUCGCGGCCUCGGCCUAUGACACGGCCACGGACUUCGCGGGCAACGCGGCCACGCUGCUCUCUUACGCGGCGGCGGGCGUGAAGGCGCUGCCGCUGCAGGCUGCAGGCUGCACUGGCCGCCCGCUCGGCUACUACGCCGACCCGUCGGGCUGGGGCGCCCGCAGCCCCCCGCAGUACUGCGGUACCAAGUCGGGCUCGGUGCUGCCCUGCUGGCCCAACAGCGCC